UAAUAAGUGUUUUAUGGCACUUUUUAAAUCCAUAUCCACCUUGUGUGCAAUGUCAGUCGAUCUUCUUUCAUGGAGAUCGACCAAACAUCAACCUUAUCUUUUAACUCUUCGUAGGAUCGACAAACAUCACUUUCUAUGAACUUUCUGAAACUAUAUAUUCAAAAAUA
rnacentral:misc_RNA from 1 species